rnacentral:rRNA from 1 species
UACGUAGGGUGCAAGCGUUGUCCGGAAUUAUUGGGCGUAAAGAGCUCGUAGGCGGUUUGUCGCGUCGGCUGUGAAAACUCGGGGCUCAACUCCGAGCCUGCAGUCGAUACGGGCAGACUUGAGUGCUGUAGGGGAGACUGGAAUUCCUGGUGUAGCGGUGAAAUGCGCAGAUAUCAGGAGGAACACCGGUGGCGAAGGCGGGUCUCUGGGCAGUAACUGACGCUGAGGAGCGAAAGCGUGGGGAGCGAACAGG